rnacentral:rRNA from 1 species
GAAAAGAAACUAACUAGGAUUCCCUCAGUAAGGGCGACUGAAGCGGGAAGAGCUCACCGUGUGAAUCUGUGCGGGUGUUUGUUGUUUUUUGAAUUCAAUAAACCCAGCACCGAAUUGUGGUCUGUAGAAGCAUUGUCGGCCGCGGUCCCGGGCCAAGUCCCUUGGAAAAGGGCAGCAUAGAGGGUGAGACUCCCGUUCUUGCCUGGGACGUGUUGGCCAUGGCACAUGUAUUCGACGAGUCGAGUUGCUUGGGAUUGCAGCUCCAAGUGGGUGGUAAAUUCCAUCUAAAGCUAAAUACCGGUGGGAGACCGAUAGCGAACAAGUACCGUGAGGGAAAGAUGCAAAGAACUUUGAAAAGAGAGUUAAAGAGUACCUGAAAUUGCUGAAAGGGAAGCGAAGGAAACCAGUGUCGUGGCUGUGCAUAUUUCCCGUGCCGCUUGCGGUGUGGGCGCUGUGCACGGUCUUGGGCCAGCAUGGGUUUGUAUUUCAUGGCAAAUGGUGGUUUGGGAGGUAGGUUCCACUUGUGGUUCCGAUACCAAGUCAUUUUGUGGUGGAUGAGACCGAGGGAGUCGUCUUUUUGACGCUCGUGAUGCUGGCGAAAUGGUUUUCUUUACCCCGUCUUGAAACACGGACCAAGGAGUCUAACAUAUGUGCGAGUACAGGGGUGGUAAACCCCCGUGCGCAAUGAAAGUAACAGUGGUUGGACCUUUUGGGGCACAAUCCGCCGGCCACAAUCCUUCGGGAGAAAGGUCUGAGUGUGAGCAUACAUGUUGGGACCCGAAAGAUGUGUGAACUAUGCCUGAAUAGGGUGAAGCCAGGGGAAACUCUGGUGGAGGCUCGUAGCGAUUCUGACGUGCAAAUCGAUCGUCGA